UCCUUGGAAGAUGAAGAACUGGUAGAAUAUAUUCUCACCGGACUCGACUACGACUUCAAUCCAAUUGUGUCCGCUCUUCUCGCAAGAACGGAUCCUGUCUCAGUAAGCGAAGUUUAUUUGCAGCUUCUUGCCUUCGAAA